rnacentral:rRNA from 1 species
CCUACUGGAGGCAGCAGUGGGGAAUAUUGGGCAAUGGGCGCAAGCCUGACCCAGCAACGCCGCGUGAAGGAAGAAGGCUUUCGGGUUGUAAACUUCUUUUCUGAGGGACGAAGAAAGUGACGGUACCUCAGGAAUAAGCCACGGCUAACUACGUGCCAGCCGCCGCGGUAAUACGUAGGUGGCAAGCGUUAUCCGGAUUUAUUGGGUGUAAAGGGCGUGUAGGCGGGAAAGCAAGUCAGAUGUGAAAACCAAGGGCUCAACCCUGAGCCUGCAUUUGAAACUGUUUUUCUUGAGUGCUGGAGAGGCAAUCGGAAGUCCGGGUGUAGCGGUGAAAGGCGUAGAUAUACGGAGGAACACCAGUGGCGAAGGCGGAUUGCUGGACAGUAACUGACGCUGAGGCGCGAAAGCGUGGGGAGCAAACAGGAUUAGAUACCCGAGUAGUC